GGCUGGGUGAGAUUAGGGGUGCAGCUGACACACACAAAAACAAAACAAACAAACAAACAAACAUAAAAAACAGUACUAGAGUAGUUGUUUGAAAGACGACGCAUUCUUACUGGUAGAGACAGCGAGGAGUUGGUGGAAUAGAAACAAGAAGAGUAGAGACUUCCUUUUCUGGCUUCUGGGUCAUUUCCUUUGCUGGUUAUAAGCUCUAAAAGUUGAAGACAAGAUCUUGCUGACUAAUGCUAUUUCUGUUACAGAUAGAGGCCACUCAGCUCAAUUAGAUGGCUUGGUGAGGUGGAGAAGUAUGCAGAGAAACAAAAACCCCUGCAAAAGUCAGGGGUUUUCAUCUGUAUCCAUCCUUUUGAAUAACUGCUUGAAAAGCUUCUAUUCAGUUUGCUUAGCAGGAAGCAGUAGAUGGACCUCAACACAUCAGAAUAGCUAUGUGCAGAAUGCUGCCGUCACAACUGACAUCGGUCACAUCACUCAAGCUUCUUCUUGAGAAACAGGUUCAAUGGUGCUUGUGAGAAAGUGUAGAAAAAAUAUAAACCAAAGGAAAAUUUUUAGGAAGCCAGAAAGGCUAAAAGGGGAGAGAUCAUGUGCCUGCCUUUCCCUCAGACUCUGAGAGAGCACAAAGGUAAGGAAUGAAAAAGGAUAACAAGCAAAGCUCCAUGUGUAUGAGCAGGUACUGUAUGUAGUAUGGGCAUGAUAGCGAUGGGUUGACAGUUGCACUUGAUCUUAGAAGUCUUUUUUAACCUCUGAUUCUAUGAUUCUACGUCUUUGGUCAGCUUGCAAUCUAAAUGUAAACAUGAUAUUAUUGAAAUAACAUAUUUUGCUCUGGGAAAUAAAUUAGAUAAUUGAACUUUCAUAUUUUUCCUUCUCUAGAAUUCAAGGUUGAUUUCAUUGAAGUAUUUGAAAUUGAAUUUAGUUAGCUUUGUGUGUCUUUUUUUUUUCUUUCUCUUUUAGCUCUAUUAGAUACAAAUCCCCAAGCUUCAUAUAUAAAGUACACCCUUAAAAUUAACUGUUUGUCUCACUCAGGGAUGCAGUUUUUAGGCUUUUAUAAGUUUGAGAACACUUUCCCAAACAUCCUUUGCUUCAGUAUUCCUCAUCCACUGCAUAAACCAACAUGCCCAAGGCUGAGAAAUUGCCACUGUUGAGAUGUGACAAGCUUCUAAUCUAGCCUUGAUUGUGCUGUGGAAAGAAAUUAACAAUGGAAAGUAAAUCCGAUAUUAAAUAACAUCACAUGAGAAUGAAUAUUUGUUGCCAAGAAUUAGAAACCUGUAGGCCUGACUUAUGGAACUGUUACCUUAAUUAUCCCUUUUCCUGAAACAGAUUUAACUUUUCUGUGGACUGUAUAAUCCUGCCUGCUUAAUCUGUGUUACAAGUCUCUUAAGAUUCUACUAAGAAAGGGAUGUCUUCUAUUCUACUUGAGAACAAAAAAAAAAAAAAAAAGCACUUUUCUGCCUUAUGCAGCAUAUUGACCAUACAACAAUGAAGAAAUUGCUCCAUGACUGUGUAUACAGUGAUUUGUAAAUCCUUUCGAGCCCAGUCUUGAGAAACACUGCUAAUCCCAGAGUAUUGCUUCAUAUGACAUCUUUGCAGGGCUGUAGACUACGUACCUCCACCCCCAAUUGCCAGGGCUGUUUGCAUACUGGGGCUUUGGUUUCUACUACAGAUAAACUGUGCAAAUAAAUGAAACUGGUUGUUACUUUAUAUUCACUAGUCUUGUUCCAGUGUAUGCAUGUUCACAACCUCUUCUCUGCCUCUUCUCAGUAGUACAUUGUGACUGUAUGGGAGUAGAGAAUGAUGCUACUUUGAAGCAAUUAAAAUCCCAAGAUGCACAGUAUAUCCAUACUGCUUUUAGGCCUGUGGAACCAAAUUGUAACUCGAAGUGUGGAUCUUUUCCUAUUACACUUGAGCCUCUGUCAUGGUGAACCAGAAAAAGGAGGAUGUAAGUAAACUAGCAAUACCACACUGCCACAAAGCACUGAGGGGAGGACGGUUGUUUACAUAUAAUGAAACCUCAUCCUGUCUGUUGGACCCUUCAUCCUGUCAGUCUACCAUUACUGUAAUACAGAAUACAUAUUAGAAGGAUUUGAGAGGAACCCACCAUUUGUUUUCUUCCAGUCACAAAACAGCCACCAGCAGAAGAGCUGGAUUCAGACGAUUGAAAGGGUAGGAAACAUAUUAUCAAUAUUCUAAGUGUGAACUGAUUUGAAAAAAUACAUCUCUCCGUAAACACUUCCUGAAAAUCUUAUGUGAACUAUUUUAUAAGAGCACACAGGUGCAAUGGCUUUGCCAGCUAGCCAAGAUCUUAAGAUUCAUGCUCUUUUUUUUUCUAUUAUCUCUGGUGUAUAGGAGACCGCUCUUAAGGCUAUUCUGUGCAGGAAGUGAUAAGUAUGUUCAUAAAGGUGUGGCUUAGCUCCCUAGCAAUUCCAUGGUUACAGGACUGUAGUAAACUAGCCUUAAGUAAAACAAACAAGCUUUGUGGAAAUCAAAAGCUGAGAAUGCAAGCUAUCUCUUUGAUUAAAGCAGCUAAUCUUUGAUUGUAGGUGGUGAGCUCCACCUUAUUUCCCUGCAUCCAGCAGUUUCACAGGGGCUGGAUGCAUUAUAUCUUUCAAUGCCUUCAAUGCUAGUGCAAAGGAAUGUUUUUAAAAGUCAUUUUCUUCAAGAUGCAAGAAAAAGAGGUUAAAUUUAUAUGGUCCCAAAAAUGUGAUUAAAGGGAAAAGCCUUGUAUCAUUUACUAAAAAUCUCAUCCUAUACAGAAUGGCUCAUCUGAAAGUGAGAGGUACAGAGCAGAACACAAUACUAAACAGAAUCUACAUCUUUUGUCAUGUUUGUCUUCCCAGGAAUAAAGAUGAAUAGCAUAAGCUUAGAUAUUACAGGUGAGUCAGGUUGCUAGUACUUUCAUCUGCUGGCAAGAAUUUAAAGAUAGUAUUGCCUUCAACAGAAUUCUGCACCGCAAAAACAUGCUUUUUCCUACUGUAGAUACAUCAUCAGAUGUGGAUUCCUACCUACAUAGAAAGUAAUCCAAAGAUCUGAGGAGACCAGAUCUGAUCUUCAGAGUCUUACAAUUUAUGUCUGUGAAAAGUAGGUGUAAAAUGCUACCCAACAUGACUCUGUUACAGUGAUAGCCAGUCUGUCUGCCUUUAGUGACAGCUGCAGGUGUUUAGUAGUUACUGGCCACACAAAUGUGUGUCUUAAUGUCAUAGAAUCAUAAUAUUCUAAUACAUUAUUACCCGCUGUAUUUUCCUAUUCCCAUGAGUCACUUCUUUUUGCCAGGAUAAAUAUGUGUGGGACCAACCUCUGAAUCAAAUGAGGGAAUGGAUUCAUCUUAAGGAUGAUAUCCAGCUUUCUAAAUCAGGAUCAGUAUUUCAAAGCUAAUUCAGGGUGCACUCCCACAGAUAGUAAGCUCUGAAAGAUUGGGGAGUACAGAUGGCAAAGGUGGGAUUAGAGUGAAUAACUGAGGCUGGAUGAACAAGGUAUGCCUGAAACUGGUAUUUAUGUCAAACAUCUUUUAUGACAAAACCUGCAGGUUUAGGGCACAGUUUGUCACAUAUUGUGGCAGGCCAGCCAGCUCUUAUUUCUACUUCAUUAGUACAGGUAUGUUUUUUUUAUAGUGCAUAUAAGGAUUUAAUCUAUCUGGAAAAAAAAAAAAAAAAAUAAGUGGAGAGGUGAGGCCAAAACUGGCCUGUAAACUGUGGACAAAGAGGUUGGCCUUGUCUAUCUCCCCAUUCACAUAAAGCAAAACACUUGACAAAGAGAAGCAGCAGUUGAAUGACGGUAAGUCCAAAUUAUGUCCCAGACAUCUACUUUACACAGAGCAUUAUCAGUACGUUGACUCUACUCACUGCAUAGCUACUCGCAAGUUGUGCCAGGCAAUUUUCUCUUCUGUGUGCCCUAGGGCUCUUUCCCUUUUCCUUACCAUCAUACAAUUAUGUGUAAAAAAGACAAAAUCUUAAUGUAUUGUAACUGUCACACUGCGCUUGAAAUAGUUACUUGAGAAAACCAAAGAAAGACUGAACACAAGGUGAUAUUUCCUGUCAAACAAGGGUGUGCCACAUUAACAGAGGGCAGUGGAAAGGAGGUGUGGUAGUAUUGGCACUUAUAAAACAGCUCUGUCAGAGCAUUUUAUCACAACUCCAACAAAUUGGGAAGAGAAAGGGCAGAACUCAUUUCACCUGCAUGCCAUGUGCUUACUUAUUAUCUAUGUUUAUAAAGCAAUUGUGUGUUUAUUAAGUGAUAAAAUGAACUGACUUGCAUCAGAUGACAUCUUAAAUUAAGAAUUUCUACAGUGUGCUGAAGGGAAGAACAUAUUUAGUACUGUUGUUUACAUAUGUGUGCAUGGUAUGUAUCUAUAUAUUCUUGAAUGCAUUUACGUACUGCAAUAUGUAUAAUUGACAAUGUUUCUUAGAAAUUCACAUCACUCUAACGUCAACUUGAUAUAUUACUAAGGGCACUACUAUCUUACUUCCAUCAUUUGUUUUUCAUGGCACGUAGAAUCUGUGAUCAAGACAAAGGAACAAUGGUAUUUGCUUAUCCAUACUAAGAGGUUAAAAUGAACAGAUGGUUUGUAAAAUAGAAGCAAUGACAUUUACUUGAGUGAGAAUCUGAUGACGGUAUCUACAUAAAUAUAUAAUACAAUUCAGUAUUAACUAGGGUCUUCCAUGUAAGCAAUUGCAUCUAGAGAUACUGUAGAAGAAAAUGGGAUACCUGCAAAAACUGUAGUUGUCUUACUAAGUUGUAAGUGAUAGAGUAGAAGUAAAAUGGCAAAUUAAUUCUGCCAGUCUGUUAAUAACUAGUCAGGUAAGACUAAGACUGUGUACUUUCAAUACAAGACAGACAAAACCAAAAUACAAAAGUUGUGUAAGAGACUUGAUUUUCUGAAAAAUAUUGUUCCAUUCUUGAGAAUGGAUCCGAUAGGAUGCACAAGUUUGAAAUCCCUGUGUCACUUCCUGAAUACGUAAUAAUUGGUGAUGGAGCUGAUUGGAACAAAAUAAUCUUAAUGAAGAUGAAAGCUCAAGAAACCACUGUAUGACAGGUGGCCUAUGGUGUCUAGUUUGGAUGUACAUAGUUGUAUUCAUCAGUAUAUUAUACAAAAUUCAUCAAUGAAUUAUCCUUAAAGCCUAAGUGCUUCAACAGCUGUUUAAGUUUUGCUUAAGUUUGGCAUUUAUGUUUUGCUUCUGUUUAUUCUUUGGCAAGAAACAGAUGUGCAUUAUCAUAUCUUCAUGUGGAAUAAGUUUAAUUAAACUAUAAUGAAGAAACAAAUAUCAGAGCAGCCGAGUUGAAUGGGAAUGAAACAUUAUAGGAACACACCCUCAUUUUUAUCAGUGUUUUAAGUCAGCUGAGGGCUUGUGGUACAAUUAAAUAAAAAGCCAAAGCUAUACACAUUACUAUUCUCUGCCAAGAUACUCUCAUGAGGCUGGUAUCAAGUUGUCAGUAAAGCCUGAGAAAGUGUAACUUGUAUUAAGUCAUCAUUAGUUGUGCAAUUUGGUCUGUUGUUUUUCACAGAGCCAUUUGAACUUCCAGUAUACAGUCUUUCAUAUGCACUUGCUGAUGAAUUCUUUCAUCACUGCUAUCUUGCAGAAUUGAUUAUCAACUCUGAGUAUGUGAGAGUAGUGUAUGGCAUGAUCUUCUGAUCAUACAUUUUGUAUGUUGUCGAAUUGUAUUUUAUGUUUGUGUGCAAGGUAAUUGGAGUUGAAAAUUCAUGUUUCAGAUAGCUUUGGCUGAUUUCAUGUUUCAGUGAAUUUCUGAGAACUUUCUUUACCUACAGUGUGAAGGUGUAUGUGUGAG
ensembl:lncRNA